rnacentral:rRNA from 1 species
AGUUGUUGCGGUUAAAAAGCUCGUAGUUGGAUUUCUGUUGAGGACGGCCGGUCCGCACUAUGUGCGUGUAUCUGGUUCGGCCUUGGCAUCCUCUUGAGGAACGUUCCUGCGCUUGAUUGCGUGGGGCGGUAUUCAAGACUUUUACUUUGAGGAAAUUAGAGUGUUCACGGCAGGCAAGCGCCUUGAAUACAUUAGCAUGGAAUAAUAAUAUAGGAUCUUGGUUCUAUUUGUUGGUUUCUAGGGCUAAGGUAAUGAUUAAUAGGGAUAAUUGGGGGCAUUUGUAUUAACGCGUCAGAGGUGGAAUUCUUGGAUUGCGUUACGACAAACUACUGCGAAAGCAUUUGCCAAGGAUGUUUUCAUUGAUCAAGAACGAAAGUAUGGGGAUCGAAGAUGAUUAGAUACCGUCGUAGUCUAUACCAUAAACUAUGCCGACUAGGGAUUGGAGGUCGUUCUUUUUAUGACUCCUUCAGCACCUUAUGAGAAAUCAAAGUCUUUGGGUUCCGGGGGGAGUAUAGUCGCAAGGCUGAAACUUAAAGGAAUUGACGGAAGGGCACCACCANGAGUGGAGCCUGCGGCUUAAUUUGACUCAACACGGGGAAACUCACCAGGUCCAGACAUAGUAAGGAUUGACAGAUUGAUAGCUCUUUCUUGAUUCUAUGGGUGGUGGUGCAUGGCCGUUCUU